rnacentral:lncRNA from 1 species
UCUCUCUCUCUCUCUCUCUCUCUCUCUAUCUUUUCUUCUUGAUAAGAGGCAAAAGGGCACCGACACUGUUUGUUGCCGACCAAUGGGUCCGCCGUCACUGCCAUCGCCUGUCGUUAUUUUGCCGUCACUUGUUUGUCGUUGGUUGGACGGUGCUGGCGUGGUGCCCUCCCUUUUUUUUGCUGUCCGUGUGUUGCGUUGUGGGUUCGUGUUUCGUUCUUUGUGCUUUUUUUUAAAAAAAAUAUCGGUGUGCGCGCAGACUGCAGUCGGGCGUGCGAACCGCACGUCCCAAAAAAGGGCUUGAUUUCUUUCCCAAAACAAAAAGGCACCGCCAAGGAAAAAAGGUGCGCCGCAAACAAUCCAGCCGCAGGUUUGUGUUGCCCUCUUCUUCAGGGUGCCGUGUGUCUUUUUCUAUCUCUCAACGCACGCGGCGACGGGCGUGGCUCAAAAAAAGGAACGAAAAGGCACGAUCCAUCCCGUGGCGCCGACCUUUUUUUCCUAGGCGCUUGCCCGUGUAGGCACGCCGGCACCCGCGCACGAUAAAACCCGAUCGACGCUGGACAAGGGCAGUGCGCCCUUCUUUUUUUUCUUUUCGGCGCGGGUCGUCUCAUGGCUGCGCGGCCUUUUCAAUUUCCUCCUUUUCCCUUUUCGAGAUGAAUGGGCUUUUGUGCCGUGCGCGUACGCGCAUCGAGCACCACCAGGCCUGAGAAGAAGGCCAAAAAACACCACAGACGGGAAAAAAGGACUCGCGCAUAGACCAAAGCUUUUGUCCAGAGGCGCGUGCGCCCACCGCGCACGUGUGUCGCUCCUCUUCUGGUGGGUGCGCGUUGGAGAAAAAAUGGGAAAAACCCACGCAAAUCGCCCUUGCCCUUUUUUGUCUCUUUAUGUGUUUGCGGUGCGGCGUGGCGUCGCAGCGAGGGAUGGUCGGGGCCGCCGGACGGCGGCACGCGGUGCCCGUGA